rnacentral:rRNA from 1 species
UUCCAGACUCCUACGGGAGGCAGCAGUGAGGAAUAUUGGGCAAUGGGGGCAACCCUGACCCAGCCAUGCCGCGUGAGUGAAGAAGGUUUUCGAAUUGUAAAGCUCUUUCGGAUGUGAAGAUGAUGACGGUAGCAUCUAAAGAAGCCCCGGCAAACUUCGUGCCAGCAGCCGCGGUAAUACGAAGGGGGCGAGCGUUGUUCGGAAUUACUGGGCGUAAAGGGUGUGUAGGUUGACGUGUAAGAUAGCGGUGAAAUCCCAGAGCUCAACUUUGGAAUUGCCAUUAUAACUAUGCGUCUAGAAUUAUAGAGAGGAUAGCGGAAUACCCAGUGUAGAGGUGAAAUUCGUAGAUAUUGGGUAGAACACCGGUGGCGAAGGCGGCUAUCUGGCUAUAUAUUGACACUGAGGCACGAAAGCAUGGGGAUCAAACAGGAUUAGAUACCUCGUA